rnacentral:tRNA from 1 species
GAUUCCAUGGCCCAAUGGAUAAGGUAUUGGUUUAUAAAACCAGAGAUUUUAGGUUUGAUCCCAAAUGGAGCCG